UGAAUCACACGUAGUCUUUACUUUAAAGUUAAACAAAUAUCAUGUACCUAAAUUAUGGGUAGGGAUCAUCACAAUCCUUUAUAAGAAAAAACCUGUCCUGUUAUACAAAUAAGUCAUCACAUUAUCAGUAUGAAUGAGAUAAUUUUAAAGUGGCAGGAUCAAGUGAAACUUGUUGGACUUAGAUUAGAUUAGAGCAACACAUGUCUCAUGGUGAGAAACAUUGGAAAGUGAUAAACAUUGAAUAAAGAAGUUGAUUAGCGAAAAAAUUGUGCACUGUGUUCCGCCGGGGAAUUGAACCCCGUUCUAUCUCAUACCGUGAGAACGCAUCACCGAUCUGCCAACGGAACCAAACCACCGUGCUGAGAGGCGACCUCUUAGAACGUGAUCUGUUUCUACUGGGUAAUCUGGCUCUCCGGGAUCCUUGUGGAUCAAGUAUAUUUUUAGAAGCAUUUGUGUCGUUGUACAUUAGGGUCAUUGGGUGAAUACUGAACACCUCGACCCAAAUGCGACGUAUAAACGCGGUUGCCUACUUGAACAAUGACAACAUUUGAGUGGAUUAAAGCCACCGGCUUAUUUUCGCAGUAAUUUUGAGUUUUGACCCAGAAGGAGGGUAACCGUAUAAAUUAGAUCAACACAUGUCUCAUGGUGAGAAACAUUGGAAAGUGAUAAACAUUGAAUAAAGAAGUUGAUUAGCGAAAAAAUUGUGCACUGUAUUCCGCCGGGGAAUUGAACCCCGUUCUAUCUCAUACCGUGAGAACGCAUCACCGAUCUGCCAACGGAACCAAACCACCGUGCUGAGAGGCGACCUCUUAGAACGUGAUCUGUUUCUACUGGGUAAUCGUAUGACAUUUGUUCCAUGUCUCC